rfam:Klebsormidium nitens mitochondrial DNA, scaffold: kfl01814, whole genome shotgun sequence.
GUUUGGGUAGCUCAGUUGGUUAGAGCAAAGGACUGAAAAUCCUUGUGUCGGUGGUUCAAGUCCACUCCCAGACA